UGCCAGCAGCCGCGGUAAUACAGAGGGUACGAGCGUUAAUCGGAAUGACUGGGCGUAAAGGGCGCGUAGGUGGAUGCGUGUGUUGGAUGUGAAAGCCCCGGGCUUAACCUGGGAAUGGCAUACAAAACUGCGGAUCUAGAGUAGAGCAGAGGUGAGUGGAAUUUCCGGAGUAGCGGUGAAAUGCGUAGAUACCGGAAGGAGCACCAGUGGCGAAGGCGACUCACUGGGCUCAAACUGACACUGAGGCGCGAAAGCGUGGGGAGCAAACAGGAUUAGAUACCCUGGUAGUCCACGCCGUAAACGAUGUCGACUUGGAGGUUGUGCCCUUGAGGCGUGGCUUCCGGAGCUAACGCGUUAAGUCGACCGCCUGGGGAGUACGGCCGCAAGGUUAAAACUCAAAUGAAUUGAUCGGGGGCCCGCACAAG
rnacentral:rRNA from 1 species